rnacentral:rRNA from 1 species
GACGAACGCUGGCGGCGUGCUUAACACAUGCAAGUCGAACGGAAAGGCCCUGCUUUUGUGGGGUGCUCGAGUGGCGAACGGGUGAGUAACACGUGAGUAACCUGCCCUUGACUUUGGGAUAACUUCAGGAAACUGGGGCUAAUACCGGAUAGGAGCUCCUGCUGCAUGGUGGGGGUUGGAAAGUUUCGGCGGUUGGGGAUGGACUCGCGGCUUAUCAGCUUGUUGGUGGGGUAGUGGCUUACCAAGGCUUUGACGGGUAGCCGGCCUGAGAGGGUGACCGGCGACAUUGGGACUGAGAUACGGCCCAGACGCGUACGGGAGGCAGCAGUGGGGAGUAUUGCGCAAUGGGCGGAAGCCUGAUGCAGCAACGCCGCGUGCGGGAUGACGGCCUUCGGGUUGUAAACCGCUUUCGCCUGUGACGAAGCGUGAGUGACGGUAAUGGGUAAAGAAGCACCGGCUAACUACGUG